rnacentral:rRNA from 1 species
UACGGGGGGGGGCAAGCGUUGUUCGGAAUUACUGGGCGUAAAGGGCUCGUAGGCGGUCUGUCGCGUCGGGAGUGAAAACUCAGGGCUUAACCCUGAGCCUGCUUCCGAUACGGGCAGACUAGAGGUAUGCAGGGGAGAAUGGAAUUCCUGGUGUAGCGGUGAAAUGCGCAGAUAUCAGGAGGAACACCGGUGGCGAAGGCGGUUCUCUGGGCAUUACCUGACGCUGAGGAGCGAAAGUGUGGGGAGCGAACAGG